ensembl:lncRNA
CAACUAUUAAAAAGGUAAUAAAAAGCACAACAUAAUUUAAUUUGACAAGGAGAAAAAAACACAACAUAGGCCAAAAACACAGAAAACACAUCAGCAAAAAAAGAAGAAAUGUUUCCAAGUCAAUGCACCCCAACAAUGACAGACAGGAACAUAAACAACACAAAAUCCCACAGGCGAAGCUGGAAUUUAUGGCGCUGCUGCCUUUCAGAAACCCUUUUCAGAAGCCAAGGCCAAGCUAGAAAGACUUACAGCCUCAUGUAUGCUGCACAAAAGCAAUGUAUAAUACAGGGGGAGCUGGCUGAAUCCUUUAUCUAUCUGUGGACUCUGUACCGCACAGGAGAUGGAUGUAUUUGCUUAGAUGCACAAAGACGAGAUCAGAAGCGGGUCCUUUUCUUUUUGGCUGAAAAAAAGAAAGGAGGAAAAAGUUCAGAGAGGAGAAUGAAAGAGCAUGUCAUCGAAGUAAUCUUGAAAAUGGCGAGGAGAUCAUGAAGUUGUUUACUGUCAGAACGUCAAGGACCCCACCGUACUUAGACGGCAAUUACUAGGAAAGAGACUGUGUGUGAUUUUGCAGAACUAGGACUGCUGAAGUGAGCAGCCCAAUCCAGAAGUCCUUGUUAACAAAUAACAAGCAUGUUUUUGUUUUUUUGUUUUUUUCAUUGGAAGAUCCUAAGAAUUAAUUAGGCUUACACUUUUAUACGAAGUCCGCCAUAUAUUAUAGUUUCUGUCAUAUUUCCUUACUAUCAGCAUCAGUGCUAUACUUACUAUCAGCAUCAGUGCUCUUAUUUAAG